rnacentral:rRNA from 1 species
GAUGAACGCUGGCGGCGUGCCUAAUACAUGCAAGUCGAGCGAACAGAUAAGGAGCUUGCUCCUUUGACGUUAGCGGCGGACGGGUGAGUAACACGUGGGUAACCUACCUAUAAGACUGGAAUAACUCCGGGAAACCGGGGCUAAUACCGGAUAACAUUUAGAACCGCAUGGUUCUAAAGUGAAAGAUGGUUUUGCUAUCACUUCUAGAUGGACCCGCGCCGUAUUAGCUAGUUGGUAAGGUAACGGCUUACCAAGGCAACGAUACGUAGCCGACCUGAGAGGGUGAUCGGCCACACUGGAACUGAGACACGGUCCAGACUCCUACGGGAGGCAGCAGUAGGGAAUCUUCCGCAAUGGGCGAAAGCCUGACGGAGCAACGCCGCGUGAGUGAUGAAGGUCUUCGGAUCGUAAAACUCUGUUAUUAGGGAAGAACAAAUGUGUAAGUAACUGUGCACGUCUUGACGGUACCUAAUCAGAAAGCCACGGCUAACUACGUG